CCUGGCCUUGGGAAAGUCACAUCUACUCUCUGACCCUCCGUUACCUCAUCUGCUCAGCAUUCACUCAUUCGUUCCUUGAGGUGGAUGCAGCUACUCGGAGGCUGAAACAGGAGGAUUGUACAUUUGAGGCCAAUCCUCAAAUUGAAGCAAUUUAGCAAGACCCCUGGCUAACAACAACAACAAAAAAGUUUGUGCUGGGGCUGUA